rnacentral:sRNA from 1 species
GCUAAUUUCUAUAUAUACUGAUCAAUUUUCUAAAGGAAUACCAUAUUACAUUAACACUCCAAAAAUUUCUAUCUUAUCCUAUUCCUUAUCUGUAUGCUUGUUUUAACACAUUGUUUUAAUUGCGUUCAUUUUUAUUUGCAAGUAUGUGUGAUCUUUCAAACUAGUCUAACUUAACAUUAGAUGUUUGAUUUUUUUAAAAUAAUGUAUCAUGUCUUGAUUUUUCUUUGAAACAGUUGAUUAAAAAAUUCCUUCCUUUGUUAUAUAUUUCCUUUUUUUGCUGUUAUAUGUUUAUGCAUAAUUAAUUGUAAAAAUUUGUCGUGACAUUGUUGAAGAGUUAUUCUUUUUUGCAAAAAAAACUUAUGAAAUGACCUUAAAUUUACACAAAAUGAAAUGGUGUAAGAGUUGACAUAUCUCAUAAUCACAUAGAUGUAAUGUAUGAGUGUAUGUCGUAUAAUUUGUUUUUCUUUUGUGUAUCAUUAUGAAGCGUUACCCUGUACCAUUUGUGACUAUUAAAACAAGCCUUUGUGUUACAUGUAUGCAAGUUUGAAUUAGUUAUAAUUAAAUAAUGAUGAAAAUUC